UACAGAGGGUGCGAGCGUUAAUCGGAAUUACUGGGCGUAAAGCGCACGUAGGCGGCUUUGCAAGUUAGAGGUGAAAGCCCGGGGCUCAACUCCGGAAUUGCCUUUAAAACUGCAUCGCUAGAAUUGUGGAGAGGUAAGUGGAAUUCCGAGUGUAGAGGUGAAAUUCGUAGAUAUUCGGAAGAACACCAGUGGCGAAGGCGACUUACUGGACACAUAUUGACGCUGAGGUGCGAAAGCGUGGGGAGCAAACAGG
rnacentral:rRNA from 1 species